AACGCAUAUGGCGCCUUGCGGGGCAACCCGGAAGGCAUGCCUGUUUGAGAAUCAUUCGCCAUCUCUCAUGAGCUUUCAUCAGUGAUUGCUUGGAACCGACCAAGGUGGCCGUGUACAGGAGCAAUCCCAUGCGGCCACUGCCACCGUUUUUAUGAUCUCAAAUCAGGCAAGACUACCCGCCGAACUUAA
rnacentral:misc_RNA from 1 species